AUUACAUCACCUUCUAACUGAAGUAACCUGAAAAUGUCAAAAAGUAUUUCACCAUAAAAACACUGAUAUACACUCUGCCAGAUCUGCUUAGUGAACAGUUGAUCCAGAUAUUAGUUAGUCUUCUAUCUCAACUUGUUACGAUGUCCAAGUUUGUGCUGCUUGCUGUGGUCAUUAUACUACAAGUGUGCUGGACCAUGGCGGACAUUUCAGCCAAUGCAACUAUAUCCGAAAGACUUCUACAGAGGGCCGAAGGGGCAUACACGUAUGAGCACUUUCAGAACUGUUGCUUAAUCACAGUCCACAUACAAUACUGAAGAAACUGAAGACGAGGGUUGUGAAUGCUGGCAGUAUAGCUGUUGAAUACGCUCUAAUGUACUAUGAGGACCAGGUGAAGCCUGUGACUGACCCAUACAUUGAGUGGGCAAAAGAGACAACAAGCUCUUUUUGGGACAAAAUCAAAGAAAAAGUAUCCAGCACUGGGUUUGAUUAAAGUGACAAAAUAUCUGCAACACAACAAGAAUCAGUAAUGCCUUCUGUAUGCAUGUAUUCAGUGGUUCAUUCUAUACUGUGUGAAGUAGCCACAAACUGCAAGCACAUAGCUAAGUAAAUUAGUCAUGAGACUAUCUUGAAAUGACAUAUUUUAUUCAAAUGAAAUAUGCAUCUGUACAUCAGUUUUAAAUAUGUGCUCUAAUGUCACCAUCUUUUCAGUAUUAUGAUGGCAAAUAAAACAUUAUCUCAAUGGUA